rnacentral:rRNA from 1 species
GACGAACGCUGGCGGCGUGCUUAACACAUGCAAGUCGAACGGAAAGGCCCUGCUUUUGUGGGGUGCUCGAGUGGCGAACGGGUGAGUAACACGUGAGUAACCUCCCCUUGACUUUGGGAUAACUUCAGGAAACUGGGGCUAAUACCGGAUAGGAGCUCCUGCUGCAUGGUGGGGGUUGGAAAGUUUCGGCGUUUGGGGAUGGACUCGCGGCUUAUCAGCUUGUUGGUGGGGUAGGUGUUUACCAAGGCUUUGACGGGUAGCCGGCAUGAGAGGGUGACCGGCGACCAUGGGCCUGAGAGAGGGAGCAGACUGCUACGGGAGGCAGCAGUGGGGAAUAUGGCACAAUGGGCGGAAGCCUGAUGCAGAAAUGCCGGGUGCGGGAUGACGGGCUACGGGUUGUAAACAGAUUUCGAAGGUGACGAAGCGUGAGUGACGGUACUGGGUAAAGAAGCACCGGCUAACUACGUG